UGUAGGCUAACUUAAGUUUGGUUAAGUGAAGCCCUCGUGUGUUUUUCUGUUGCUGCAGAUUUACGGCGAUGAAAAACAAUCUGAUCUCGGUAAUCAUGAGUUUUAGCAACGUUUUAACAUGGGAGUGAACUAGUGUUGCACAGUAAACCUGUACUAAAAAGAGACACUUACAUUGCUUCAGUGUUCCUGUGCAUACAUGGGAGACUCUGACAGAACGCUAUCUCUGUAGCAUUCCAUCCAGUCCAGAACCCGGGGUCCUGAAGUCUCGACUUUUACGAUACUCAAACGAUGCGAUGUUAAUAUACCUCUCUGAUCUAACGAGUCUGACUAGCUGUCGUGACCUCUCAGGUGGGAUUUGGCUACGAUGGAGAGAUGGUUGUUCUGCUAAGUUCUCCUGUCUCUGCACAGGAACUGCAGUGAUCGUUAAGGAGCCUAAUGACGAAUCAUGGUCAGAAUUAUGUUGUCCCAUGCUACACCCCUUCACCAAGUUUCAUACAAAUCGGGCUGGUAGUUUUUGCUUAAUCCUGUUCACACACAAACAAACCGACAUUCAAACACUCACACGGGAGAAAUUGCUUGCAUGAUACUUGUGUUUUUCUGUUGCUGCAGAUUUACAUUUUCUCACACUACAUUGUCACCUGGAGUCAGCUCUGUAACCGUGGGCCCAAGUUUUUGUGGAAAUGGCUGAGACCGAUUUCCUCAGUGCCAUGGAGAGAACGACAGUGGGGAUCUAUGUUGUGAAAGACACUGCCAGCAGUGAACCCUCUGAUGUCAGGAUAGUCCUCGAAGGUGUGAUGGUGCUUCAAGAUCUUGAGAAUGUAGCACUUGCUUCUGCAAUGUUGUUUGGGCUCUUAUGCCUUGAACAUGCAGCACCCUACAAAGCUCCGCUACACCUUUGAGGCAUUUCAAAAGAUCAUCAUGGAGCCUCAGCAUCAGACACUUAAUAAUAUGAGCCUGUCAGCUGCAAAAACAGAACUUUUAGUGACACUAACUGACCAUGCACAGUUGCCCUAUAUAACGUUGCAGCCCGGUUCACAGCAAUCUUGCUCAAUGCUGGACCAAUUUUCAUGAAUUAACCACUACAUAGCCUAAAUUUAUAUUGAUUGGCUGUAAAUGUAGCUGUUUUUUAAGUAUGCUUGUUUUUCCACUGUCCAAUUAACAUUUUUAUAUCUAUAAUUUCUUUAAAUUGACUGAUUAAUACUGUAAAUGUGCUGACAUUCCUUUUUGAUUAAAAGUACAUAUUCAGUA